CAAGUAGCUGGGACUACAGGAACCUGCCACUACACCCAGCCUCAACUGAAUAGCAGAGAGAUUUUGGCUUUCAUUCCAGAAUGAUGUCUCACAGAAAGUCAACUCGUGUUCCAGGGCACGAGUAAAGAUAUCAACCCAUCUAUCUGUAGAAAAUUGCCAGAAACUGUCACAAAAUAAAAAAUGAGAGAAGGCCUGAAUUACGACAGUCCUGGUGGGGUUCUACAAGGCAGCAUGAGGGAGAGGAGAGAGGACUAUUUUACCAAGAUUUUAAGACUUUCAAACAACCAGGGAAGGCUUCUGUGGACAGGCUGUCUCUGCACUAGGACUAAAGAACCAGAACUGUUCAGAAAGAGAGAAGAGCCCAGCACCUUAUACUCAGGAGAUACUGAAAAACAUCAUAUAAGGUGUUUACUGUUGAGAGAAAAGUACACAUCAGAGGAUGCCCAUUAUUGAUAUAGAGCCUUCUCUGUAUCUGGAUGAACGUGACCAGGAAGCCACCCUCAGCCUGCUGCAGCUGUUUUCAGAAUCUGUGGGAUCACACCCCAGAGGCAGUUGGGUCAGCCGCAGGCAUCAGGUGAGGAGGAGGAAGAGUGAGACAGCUAUUACAGGCUGCCGGACCAGGUGGCUGUGAAGAGGUGUGGGGACACCAAGGCUUAUAUAAGGAGGAUGGAGAACACAGGCCAAAGGGGAGGCUGUAAUGCUGACUUCGAUUGGCUAACUUAAUAUAAGGCAGACUGAGGGAGGAGGAGGAGGGCAGGAGAGAACACGCUUUAGAAAGCAUGACGGUGUCUCAUUCUGUUUGCAAGUGAGCACGUAGGUGCCUUCCAAAUAUGAUCCUGAAGAAGGUGCAGAUAAAUGAAAAAUUGGA
rnacentral:lncRNA from 1 species